GUGGGGAAUCUUGCGCAAUGGGCGAAAGCCUGACGCAGCCAUGCCGCGUGAAUGAUGAAGGUCUUAGGAUUGUAAAAUUCUUUCACCGGGGAAGAUAAUGACGGUACCCGGAGAAGAAGCCCCGGCUAACUUCGUGCCAGCAGCCGCGGUAAUACGAAGGGGGCUAGCGUUGCUCGGAAUUACUGGGCGUAAAGGGCGCGUAGGCGGACAUUUAAGUCAGAGGUGAAAGCCCAGGGCUCAACCUUGGAAUUGCCUUUGAUACUGGAUGUCUUGAGUUCGGGAGAGGUGAGUGGAAUGCCGAGUGUAGAGGUGAAAUUCGUAGAUAUUCGGCGGAACACCAGUGGCGAAGGCGACUCACUGGCCCGAUACUGACGCUGAGGCGCGAAAGCGUGGGGAGCAAACAGGAUUAGAUACCCGAGUAGUCC
rnacentral:rRNA from 1 species